rnacentral:rRNA from 1 species
UACGUAGGGGGCUAGCGUUGUCCGGAAUCAUUGGGCGUAAAGCGCGUGUAGGCGGUCCGGUAAGUCGGCUGUGAAAGUCCAGGGCUCAACCCUGGGAUGCCGGUCGAUACUGCCGGACUAGAGUUCGGAAGAGGCGAGUGGAAUUCCCGGUGUAGCGGUGAAAUGCGCAGAUAUCGGGAGGAACACCUAUGGCGAAGGCAGCUCGCUGGGACGUUACUGACGCUGAGACGCGAAAGCGUGGGGAGCGAACAGG